UACGGAGGAUGCAAGCGUUAUCCGGAAUGAUUGGGCGUAAAGCGUCCGCAGGUGGCGAUGUAAGUCUGCUGUUAAAGAGUGAGGCUCAACCUCAUAAGAGCAGUGGAAACUACAUAGCUAGAGUACGUUCGGGGCAGAGGGAAUUCCUGGUGUAGCGGUGAAAUGCGUAGAGAUCAGGAAGAACACCAGUGGCGAAGGCGCUCUGCUAGGCCGUAACUGACACUGAGGGACGAAAGCUAGGGGAGCGAAAGGG
rnacentral:rRNA from 1 species